rnacentral:sRNA from 1 species
AUAUAUAAAAAUUUUGCAAAUUGUAUCAUUCUCUAAUAUA